GCGCGCAAUACAAAGAGGCCCCUUUUCAACCUCCUGUCACUUCUAAAGGUGGGAGCCUGAAUGGGAUCAGAGGCAGCAGACAGUCUCAGAGGAAAUGCUGUGCAGUUGCUGGAUGUCAGGAGGCAAAUAUAUCAUUGCACAGCCUUCCCCAAAGGUUGGAAAACAUUAUCCUCAGCUGUGGUUUACCGGUGACUUUUACCCAGAGCUCUGGUUUUACCUACCGUAGGCUACAAUCCGUCACCUGUGGUUGGUCUGGACGUGCGUCACUCAGAAAACAGUCAGCCAAUCAGAAGAGAGGAACGCUGAGCAGACAGAAAGGUUUCAGGCUGAGUGAGACAGAAGGACUGUAUGUACAUCUGUAACCAGCUGUGUUUAAACCAUAAAAACAUGCAAAUGUUUGUUAAUAAACCAUGCAAAUGAAGAUAUUAAA